rfam:Gossypium arboreum cultivar AKA8401 contig_12065_5, whole genome shotgun sequence.
UGUUAAAAAUUUCGUCCAUUUGUACUGUUAAAAACUGGUAUAGUUGAUGGAAUAACCAGACAGUGGCAAGUGGCAUGCCACGUGUACCUCAUACUGUUGUACAAGGACAGUUUUUAAUAAUAGAAAUGGAUGAAAAUUUUAAUA